CUGCCUGCUAAUAAUAGCUCCCAUUUUAGCCAGCGCUCACUCUGCCAGUUUUAUGGAUACUUCAAAAAUCAAGAAAGAAUAAGAAGAUAGUAAAGAAUGUUCCUCUCAGCCACCCUGCAUCCAUCCAUUUCCCACCCCAACCUGCAAAAGGUAACCACUGGAUGGGCCCGGUGGCUCACACCUGUAAUCCCAGCAUCUUGGGAGGCCAAGGUACAGCCAUGGCAGAAGAUGGCUGGGCACAAGGGACCAGCUGCACGCUGCUCCUGGAGUCAGCUCUCCAGGACAGGCCUCAACCUUGGGCCUCUUCAGAAGCACUGCUCCUAUUUCUUGCCAGCCGAUCUCAGCCCAAGCCACCCAAGUCUGCACCCCCCUGAGUACAGUGGAGAUAUUACAUUAACUUUGAAAUAAAAGGAGAGACUCUAGGUCUCACUGCUCCCUUCCAGAAGCUUCUUUUGCCUCUUGCAAACAUGGGUGGCUUUGGGAGGAGUGCCAGCACACUUCAUAUACCAGAAGCACCUCAGCCCUGAGGUCUUGGGGACAUAGAUAGGUUCUUC
rnacentral:lncRNA from 1 species